UACGGAGGAUGCAAGCGUUAUCCGGAUUUAUUGGGUUUAAAGGGUCCGUAGGCGGGUCUUUAAGUCAGUGGUGAAAGCCUACAGCUCAACUGUAGAACUGCCAUUGAUACUGGGGGUCUUGAGUAUAAUUGAAGUGGGCGGAAUACGUCAUGUAGCGGUGAAAUGCAUAGAUAUGACGUAGAACACCGAUUGCGAAGGCAGCUCACUAAGUUAUAACUGACGCUGAGGGACGAAAGCGUGGGGAGCAAACAGG
rnacentral:rRNA from 1 species